UUCGAGCCGGGCCCCGCCCACCGCGGCCCUCAGGGGCGGUACCCGCGAGCCCCGCCCGCCGCAUCCCCCCGGCCCUCAGACCGGCUCGUCCCGUCCCCCUUCUCUCACCGCCUUCCCCCAUCCCUCACACCGGCAUCCCCGUCUCUCAGACUGCGGGCUCGUCUCCCGUCUGCCGAAUUAGCCUUGGGAGCAAUCUUUGUAACCACAGAACCCCACAGACAGCCUGGCGGGAGGAACCCCUCCGCCCCAGCGCCUCCCGCCGCUGUCACUGCUCAUCCGCACUUGGGCCCUCGAGGAAGUCACUGUAGAAAAGGGCGAGCACUGACAAAAAAUGAGAGGAAUUGGGAAAACAUUCCUGGGAAUGGGAAGUGUGUGGGAUGGUGGUGGUAACUCCGCUGGCGACUGCAGGAUCCCCAGGGAUGUAUACCUAAAAGACUCCACAUGACAAUAACCAAAAUAUGGAAAAGGGAAUCCAUGAAAUGUUCACAUUUUACAGUAAUUUGCCCUGCAGAAAAGAGGAAAACUCUGACCUACUUGAAGAAAGAGGGUUAUUAUAUUCAUUCUGCUAAUCCAGAAAAUACAAUUUGACAUGAACGCUGCAGGAAACAUCCAGCGUUACUCAGGAGCUGAUGUUUUGCCCCAUGGCAGCAGUGUUGAGUUCUUCAGUGGCAUGGGACAGUUCCUCACCUCAGGGCACAGGCUGGAGUUCACCCAAGCCAGGAGGCUGAAGGUGCAAGUUCAUCAUUACCUAAAACCAGGAGCUGGGAAACUUCUCAAAAUUCCAGCGUGGCACAUCCCCACUGGCCCUGCUGUUGCAGAGUUUGACAUUGCUGCCACCAGGAUUGACAACCUUGCUAAAUGGGUAAUUCCAUGGAUAAGAAAAGCUGUCAGUCCAAUUGCUACCCACAAACACCAUGGGAGGUGUUGGAUGUUGGGACAUCAUCACAGAACUAACCUCACCCUACUCUCAGUUUGUUGUGUCCGGUUCUUAAAGAUCCACAGAUACAAAAUUUGACAUCUUUGAAGGUUCCCAUUUUGCAAAGUUGAUGCAAUUUCAUAUAUUCUCUCUUUUUUUAAAUGACUGUUUAAGGCAUCUUUCUUUAAACAAUACCGGUUGUUUAUGAUCAAAGCUACUAUAAUAAAUCAGUAUGUGUAGAAAGGAGAGAAAUCUUU
rnacentral:lncRNA from 1 species